rnacentral:rRNA from 1 species
GUAUAAUGGGUCAGCGACUUAUAUUCUGUAGCAAGGUUAACCGUAUAGGGGAGCCGUAGGGAAACCGAGUCUUAACCGGGCGUUAAGUUGCAGGGUAUAGACCCGAAACCCGGUGAUCUAGCCAUGGGCAGGUUGAAGGUUGGGUAACACUAACUGGAGGACCGAACCGACUAAUGUUGAAAAAUUAGCGGAUGACCUGUGGCUGGGGGUGAAAGGCCAAUCAAACCGGGAGAUAGCUGGUUCUCCCCGAAAGCUAUUUAGGUAGCGCCUCGUGAAUUCAUCUCCGGGGGUAGAGCACUGUUUCGGCUAGGGGGCCAUCCCGGCUUACCAACCCGAUGCAAACUGCGAAUACCGGAGAAUGUUAUCACGGGAGACACACGGCGGGUGCUAACGUCCGUCGUGAAGAGGGAAACAACCCAGACCGCCAGCUAAGGUCCCAAAGUCAUGGUUAAGUGGGAAACGAUGUGGGAAGGCCCAGACAGCCAGGAUGUUGGCUUAGAAGCAGCCAUCAUUUAAAGAAAGCGUAAUAGCUCACUGGUCGAGUCGGCCUGCGCGGAAGAUGUAACGGGGCUAAACCAUGCACCGAAGCUGCGGCAGCGACGCUGAUGCGUUGUUGGGUAGGGGAGCGUUCUGUAAGCCUGUGAAGGUGGCCUGUGAGGGUUGCUGGAGGUAUCAGAAGUGCGAAUGCUGACAUAAGUAACGAUAAAGCGGGUGAAAAGCCCGCUCGCCGGAAGACCAAGGGUUCCUGUCCAACGUUAAUCGGGGCAGGGUGAGUCGACCCCUAAGGCGAGGCCGAAAGGCGUAGUCGAUGGGAAACGGGUUAAUAUUCCCGUACUUGGUGUUACUGCGAAGGGGGGACGGAGAAGGCUAUGUUGGCCGGGCGACGGUUGUCCCGGUUUAAGCGUGUAGGUGUGUGUUCCAGGUAAAUCCGGUUCACUUUAACACUGAGGCGUGACGACGAGGCACUACGGUGCUGAAGCAACAAAUGCCCUGCUUCCAGGAAAAGCCUCUAAGCAUCAGGUAACAUCAAAUCGUACCCCAAACCGACACAGGUGGUCAGGUAGAGAAUACCAAGGCGCUUGAGAGAACUCGGGUGAAGGAACUAGGCAAAAUGGUGCCGUAACUUCGGGAGAAGGCACGCUGACACGUAGGUGAAGUGAUUUACUCAUGGAGCUGAAGUCAGUCGAAGAUACCAGCUGGCUGCAACUGUUUAUUAAAAACACAGCACUGUGCAAACACGAAAGUGGACGUAUACGGUGUGACGCCUGCCCGGUGCCGGAAGGUUAAUUGAUGGGGUCAGCGCAAGCGAAGCUCCUGAUCGAAGCCCCGGUAAACGGCGGCCGUAACUAUAACGGUCCUAAGGUAGCGAAAUUCCUUGUCGGGUAAGUUCCGACCUGCACGAAUGGCGUAAUGAUGGCCAGGCUGUCUCCACCCGAGACUCAGUGAAAUUGAACUCGCUGUGAAGAUGCAGUGUACCCGCGGCAAGACGGAAAGACCCCGUGAACCUUUACUAUAGCUUGACACUGAACAUUGAGCCUUGAUGUGUAG